CUUGGUCAUUUAGAGGAAGUAAAAGUCGUAACAAGGUCUCCGUAGGUGAACCUGCGGAGGGAUCAUUACACAAAUAUGAAGGCGGGCUGGAACCUCUCGGGGUUACAGCCUUGCUGAAUUAUUCACCCUUGUCUUUUGCGUACUUCUUGUUUCCUUGGUGGGUUCGCCCACCACUAGGACAAACAUAAACCUUUUGUAAUUGCAAUCAGCGUCAGUAACAAAUUAAUAAUUACAACUUUCAACAACGGAUCUCUUGGUUCUGGCAUCGAUGAAGAACGCAGCGAAAUGCGAUAAGUAGUGUGAAUUGCAGAAUUCAGUGAAUCAUCGAAUCUUUGAACGCACAUUGCGCCCUUUGGUAUUCCAAAGGGCAUGCCUGUUCGAGCGUCAUUUGUACCCUCAAGCUUUGCUUGGUGUUGGGCGUCUUGUCUCUAGCUUUGCUGGAGACUCGCCUUAAAGUAAUUGGCAGCCGGCCUACUGGUUUCGGAGCGCAGCACAAGUCGCACUCUCUAUCAGCAAAGGUCUAGCAUCCAUUAAGCCUUUUUUUCAACUUUUGACCUCGGAUCAGGUAGGGAUACCCGCUGAACUUAA
rnacentral:misc_RNA from 1 species